UACAGAGGUGGCAAGCGUUGUUCGGAAUUACUGGGCGUAAAGGGCGCGUAGGCGGCCCACGAUAAGUCCCGCGUGAAAGCCCCCGGCUCAACUGGGGAAUUGCGCGGGAAACUAUUGGGCUUGAGAUCGGGAGAGGGAAGCGGAAUUCCGGGUGUAGCGGUGAAAUGCGCAGAUAUCAGGAGGAACACCAAUAGCGAAGGCAGCUCGCUGGGACGGUAUUGACGCUGAGGCGCGAAAGCGUGGGGAGCAAACAGG
rnacentral:rRNA from 1 species